GGCUUUAAAACACCGAACUUUCACUGCUGAAGAUUGGUCAAAUGUUGUGUGGUCAGACGAAUCAAACUUUGAGAUUUUUGGUACACCUGGUGUGACCUUUGUGCGUCGCCGUGUGGGCGAAGAAUUUAAGCCAGAGUGUGUGAUCCCAACCGUUAAACACGGUGGAGGCAGCAUAAUGGUCUGGGGUUGCAUGACCGAUUCUGGAGUUGGCGAAUUGUUCGUUUGUGAGGGUCGCAUGGACUCUACUAAGUACAUAAAUGUACUAGAAACUGCAUUACUGCCUUCAUUCACGCAACUUUUUGGCGACACGAAUAUGGAUGGUGUCAAAUUCCAGCAGGAUAACGCGCCAUGCCACAAAUCUGCACGCACUAUGAGAUGGUUUCGGGAAAAUAACACGGAACUGCUUGACUGGCCAGCUCAGUCUCCAGAUCUGAACCCCAUAGAACAUUUAUGGGGUUUAUUAAAGCGCAGGGUUAGGCGCCACACAAUUAACAACAAAGAAGAUUUAAAACGCUGCCUGCGCCUAGAAUGGAACUCGAUUACUGUUGACGACUGUAAAAAACUUGUUAACUCUUUACCAAAAAGAAUUUCUGCCGUAAUUAAGGCAAAGGGUGGACCCACAAAAUAUUAAUUUUCUAUUAAUAAAUAGUAAAAUAAACCCAUAUAAAACGUU